rnacentral:rRNA from 1 species
CAACCUACCUUUGAGUUCGGGAUAGCCCUGAGAAAUCAGGAUUAAUACCGGAUGUGGUUGCAGGGAGACAUCUCCUUGCAAGUAAAGGCGCAAGCCGCUCAAUGAUGGGCUCGCGGCUUAUUAGCUUGUUGGUGGGGUAAUGGCCUACCAAGGCGAUGAUGAGUAGCUGGUCUGAGAGGACGGUCAGCCACACUGGGACUGAGACACGGCCCAG